rnacentral:misc_RNA from 1 species
UGGAGGUAGGUUCACUAUAACAAAACCCAAUGUUCAAACAGACCCGGGUAGUCUGGUGGAGGAAAUAACCAAAACCAUAAAAAAUAAUUUAGUGCCCUCUAUGGAAAUUGCAUCAUCUGGAAGCGAAAGUGAAGUUCCCAUUGAUGUUGCUAGUCCAGACGUUGCCAUCAUAGAGGAUGAACUCAAUCUCGAGGAGUUAAUGAAGCAAAAGGCUUUACUUCAGGCUCGAUUGGGUGCAUAUUUAUCCGAGUCCGAUGGUGAAGACAGCGUUUCCAAUAAAAUACCAAUUGUAAACCUUCAUUGCGAAACGGUAAAAGUCACUGCUUAUGAGGAUAAAUCCAGAGGUGGAACUGACAACUCAGCUAAAAAGCGUUCGUUGUCAUCAUCUUCGUCAAUCAGUAAAAAUGUUAUUAGUAAAAUAAGUAAAAAACAGAUUUCAAAUGAACCCGAUGUUAUAUUAUUGGAUGAUUCUAGCGGUGGAAACCGAACUCCUGAAUUGAAGCGAAAAACAACGCGUAUAUCACACAGAUCAAAAGAUGAGCGCCUACCAUCACCGCAGAGAAAGUCAUCGGCAGAGCAUUACCACCACCAUCAUCGUCAUUCAGCACCGGAAGCGCAACAUACACGUAGACACAGUUCCCGAGAUCAGCACACAAAUCUUUCCAAGCGUAGUACUAGCCGUAGUCGAUCGCAACGACGAGAUUCAGAGGCCAACAGCCUUCGAAGUCGCGACGAUAGUCACAAUCGAGGUAGGCAGCGACGAGGAUUGCAUGAUCAAAACCGUCAAAAAGAAGAUCUUCGUUUGGAAAUAAAUCGAGAUAAGGAACGCGAGAGAGAAAAUAGUCGCGAUCGUGAUCGACGUUCGCGAGAGGACCGAUUGAGGCCGCAAGAUCGUAGUAGGGUUGGCUCUUUUGGUAACUCUCGCGGAAGAGAACGGGAACGUGAUCGUGACCGUGAUCGAGACCGCCGGAUGCGUUCACAUAGCCGAAGUAAAGUAGAAUCGGAUCGGCGUCGGAUAGAGCGAGAACGUCAGCGCACUGGAAAAAACGAAAGAGAUGGAUGGCGAGGAGAAGAGCGUGGGCGCGAUCGUGAAAAGGACCGCUACCGGGGCUCAUUAAGCGAAGGGCAAAAAGCUGAAAUAAGAGAAUCGAGCAGCGAAGAUGAUGGUCAUUUGGAUAUUGACAUCAACGAAGACGAAGACGAAGAAGAAAAAAUAAUUGAAAUGCGUCGAAAGCAACGUGAAGAACUAUUAAAAAAACUAGGAGGAAAAACAGAAUCAUCUUCACCAAGCAAAUCCUCGCAACCUAGAAGAGAACGAAUCCCUUCUCCAGAAGAACCGAGAAUCCAAGACAUCGCGCCUUUGCCGAAUAAUACCCAACCGAAGUCAUCAAUACAGGUCAGCCGAGAGGAGGAAAAUGACCUCGACGACGAUAAGAAAACUAAAGGUGGUGCCAGGGAAAAGCGACCGGAAUGGGAUAUGUUUGCCGAUCAAGACGUAGACUCGAAUUUCGAUUCUCCUAAUGCAAUAGUGCUGAAUAAAACACAAAAUGAAAAUCCUGCACUGACAGACAACUGGGAUGAUGCGGAAGGAUAUUAUCGUGUACGUAUUGGGGAAAGUCUUGACAACCGUUAUGUUGUGAGUGGAUAUACAGGCCAGGGAGUAUUUAGUAAUGUAGUGAGAGCUCGUGAUCAAGCACGUGGGAAUGCAAAUGUUGCUGUAAAAAUUAUACGCAACAACGAGAUAAUGCAUAAAACGGGACUGCGUGAAUUGGAGAUCUUAAAAAAAUUGAAUGACGCAGAUCCAGAAGAUAGAUUCCAUUGCUUACGACUUUUCAGACAUUUUUUUCAUAAGCAGCAUCUUUGCAUGGUGUUCGAGCCGCUAUCUAUGAACCUUCGGGAAGUGCUUAAAAAGUAUGGUAAAAAUGUUGGCUUACACAUCAAAGCAGUGCGCAGCUAUACGCAACAGCUCUUUCUGGCACUUAAGUUGCUUAAAAAGACCGGCAUACUUCAUGCAGACAUUAAACCCGACAACAUUCUUGUGAAUGAUAAUAAUUUAUGUUUAAAGUUAUGUGAUUUCGGUUCUGCUUCAGCUAUUAACGACAACGAAAUAACACCAUAUUUAAUAUCACGUUUCUAUCGUGCGCCCGAAAUCAUAUUAGGCAUUACUUACGAUUACGGAAUUGAUAUGUGGUCUGCUGGUUGUACAAUCUAUGAGCUAUACACUGGAAAAAUUCUGUUUAGUGGAAAGAGCAAUAACCAAAUGCUGAAAUUCUUCAUGGACUUAAAAGGAAAAAUUCCAAAUCGUAUUAUUCGGAAAGGUCAAUUCAAAGAUCAACACUUUGAUCAGAGCUGCAACUUUCUUUAUCAUGAGAUUGACAAAAUUACGGAAAGGGAAAAAAUCGUGGUUAUGCCUGUAAUUAAACCUACACGAAAUCUACAACAGGAACUUAUUGCUGAUCAGAAUUUACCAGAUGAUCAACACCGAAAAGUAACACAACUUAAGGAUUUAUUGGAUAAUAUAUUUGCGCUGGAUCCAUCGAAAAGAAUUUCUUUGAAUCAAGCAUUAACACAUCCUUUUAUUCAAGAGAAGAUGUAAGCGACCACUUCAUGAAAGUGUGUCCUGUUUUAAAUUGAGUUGAGAAAAUUCGACGCGCCGGCACCAGGCAUAUACACAAUAAUGUCGCUGUGCACCACACGAAAAAGGCGUAGACGUGCUGACGUGCCUCUACCCAUGCUGCGUCCAAUGUGAGAACAGCAUGUUUUUUGUUUAUAGCACUGGUAAUAAUAAUUUGGGUUUGAAGUGUAUUAUACAAUACAGUAAAGUAAAAAGUAAAAUUUCGUAUAAACCUCCAGCUUGGAGCGGCAUGAGAAUCGAUUUGCUGUUGGUAUGGCGACGCAAAUGAUUUUCUAUGCCCUGUGCUUCCAAUGGAGUAAUAAGCGAAACCUAAAAAUUUGUAAUAGGUUAUAUUUAAACUAAGUGUUAAUUGUUUUUCUUUCAGGCGGAUUAUUGCACAGCGACGCUAAAUUGUAAAAAUUAAAUCUGUGUAAAAAUUGUAGAGUAUAUUUGGUUGGCAGUGUAACGGUGAUGUGUUGCUCCGGCUAAGAAACGAAACCAUGGCGUUGGAGACGACGAAAGCUAAGUUUACUCUAUUCUAAACAUUGAUAGACAAACCAAACGUUAUAAGGUAAAUUUGUUGGCUGGAAAAGGCGAUAGUGGAACGGCUUACCCAAAAAAGCAUAUUGAAUAAAAAAAAAACAGCAAUUUAAAGCUUUGGCAUGAAAUGCUAUACAUGCUGAUAUUUAAUAUUAUGCGUUUCGAAAUUUACAGCAUAUGUUAGGAUGUGUUUGAAUUUAGAAAAGCGGCAUAAGUUAUAUGUGCUCCAUGAAAUUGUAUUGCACCAAGCAUUAUUUACGCCAGUCAGCAAUGAUUACGCCAGUAACUACCUUUAAUAAAAGCUGCAUUAACGGUCUAUAAACCCUCUUUAGUAUUGUUCGCAACUACAUUGAGCAGUCCCUAACAGCUGUAAAAAAUGUAAAUAUAAGAGAUAUGUACAUACAUUUAUUUCUGAAGUACUCAAAACAAGAAAUAUUA